rnacentral:rRNA from 1 species
UAGGGAAUCUUCGGCAAUGGACGGAAGCCNGGACCGAGCAANCNCACGUGAGUGAAGAAGGUUUUCGGAUCGUAAAGCUCUGUUGUAAGAGAAGAACGAGUGUGAGAGUGGAAAGUUCACACUGUGACGGUAUCUUACCAGAAAGGGACGGCUAACUACGUGCCAGCAGCCGCGGUAAUACGUAGGUCCCGAGCGUUGUCCGGAUUUAUUGGGCGUAAAGCGAGCGCAGGCGGUUAGAUAAGUCUGAAGUUAAAGGCUGUGGCUUAACCAUAGUACGCUUUGGAGACUGUUUAACUUGAGUGCAAGAGGGGAGAGUGGAAUUCCAUGUGUAGCGGUGAAAUGCGUAGAUAUAUGGAGGAACACCGGUGGCGAAAGCGGCUCUCUGGCUUGUAACUGACGCUGAGGCUCGAAAGCGUGGGGAGCAAACAGGAUUAGAUACCCUGGUAGUCCACGCCGUAAACGAUGAGUGCUAGGUGUUAGACCCUUUCCGGGGUUUAGUGCCGCAGCUAACGCAUUAAGCACUCCGCCUGGGGAGUACGACCGCAAGUUG